AGCUUUACUCCAGGUGUUCUUCCUUUGGUACCACCUUAGAACAGAAGCAACAAAAGUUGGUUGCUUCCUCACCUAAAAACAACGGGGAAUAAAACCCUGAGUAUGGAAUUACUCAGCAAGUCUUACCCGACUAAAGAAAAGACUCUCAAGGGUAUGCUGGUUAUAAGGGAGUCAAGGUAAGGUUUCUCAAUGAUCAAAGACUCUGUUUUGCAGAAAUGCUUACUAAAAGUGGAUCCUUAAAAAUCCAGUUUUAUUUGUCCAGUUAAGUAAAAUUACCUAUCACUAGAGUUCUUUCUACCCUAGAUCAAUCACUUGACCUGCACUAGCCAAUUUCUUACAAACCCUUCAUCUUUACUGGAGUUAUACGUAUAGGUCAGUGACCAAGUCUUCAUAACCGCGAAGGUACGGCGAUCCGAAUCGAUUAUACUCAGCUAAGGAUCUCCGAUCACACAACAUAUGUAGCACUUAACCCUUGCAUAUGUCAACCCGCCACCAGGGUUCAUAAGACCAGAUCAGGUUCACGUCAACUGAGAGCACAGAUACACCACCGUCCAGCCUCUUGCCACGGAGGGUACACGCUACUCUCGCCAUUGCUCCACUCCCAUUGCGUGUUAUCUUAAUCUGGCCUCAGUCUGCCCGAGGCAAAGCUUACCCAUGACGAGGCAUGUGACCAGUUAAAGGGUCCUCAGUCAUCAAGCCUACAUCGAGACGGUCCUUAAUCGACUCAGACGGAGACACUACACCGAGACUCUCUUCUCGUGCAAGUCACCCGACCGGUCUCAGCUUCAUCAUUUCAACCCAAAGUUUGGUACCUCGCAGAGGUACAUCUUUUCCGAUGUUGAACCCAUCAAGGCCUUGAUGGAUCCAUCAUCAAGUUUUAUUUUCAAAAACAUCCCACCCACUUUGCCACAUCAUCUUUUGUGAAAACAAAACGUUUUGUUUUUCUAAAGCAAGGCUAAGCAUCAAAAAUCUUUUUGUAAAACAGGGAUUUCAAGGAAGGUAAUCAAAUCCAAGGAAGGUAAUGCAGGAAUUGUUUUAGCACUCAACUCCUAUCACCUAAUGCAUCAAGCAAGUGAGAAAGAUUUUAAAAACAUCAAGGAGGUGGCAAAUGCACCGGGGCUUGCCUUCGUUUAUAGGUGAGUCAGGCUCGGAUCCACAGAUGUCAAAGUAAAAACAAUUUCCUGCCUGAUGUUCCGCAGGUGGUGGUGGCGAAGUCUUCUCUUCUUCUACUUCAACUUCUUCCUCGUUUUCUAAAUAUAACCAUAUAUAUAUAUAUAUAUAUAAGAAUGAAUGCCAUGUAAUGCUCAUGAGAGUGCAAAGAUAGUAGAAGUUUAUUUCUAAGGUCUUGAAUAAACUUUCCUUCACGGUUUUCCGGGAAACUAGGGUUUCCGGAGUCAGUAAAGAAAUUCAAAGGGCGGGGGUAGGGUUUUGGUUUCUAGGUAUCAAACAAGGUCCAAGUUAAUCCAAACUCUACCCAAGGCUUCUAAAUAAUGUUUAGAGUUUAUACAAAAAGUUUGGGAAUUUUUGGAAUUACUAUCUAAUUUUUAAAAAUCCAGAAACAAUGUUUUAAGCUAUUUUAAAUGCUCCAAAAUUCAUUAUUUGAUCUACAAAUCAUGAAACUAUUUUUAACAAAUUCUAUGGAAAAUUAGGAAUCUAGGAAAAUUGGUUUGACAUUUUUAGGAUUUUUAUACCAUUUUCUACAGAUUUCCAAAGUUUCACUAAAAAAGAAAAAGGGAAAACCUGAAACAGUACUGGGCCGAUUCUAGCCCAGACGACCCAAGUCAGGUGGAAAGCGCGUGCCCGCGCCUACGCUGCAGACUUUGCAGAAAGGCCCUCGGUGUUCUGGUUAACUCGAAGUAGGUUAUUUCACUGUUGCUUUGAGUCACUGACAUCUUACAGGGAACCCCCCCGGACUUCUAUUUCUUUACUGCGCUAGGACCACGAUGUCGCACGGCGGAGGCUUGCACGCUGGCGAGGUUAGACUGGCCAGAUGGAGCAAAAAGUGGUGCUCCCGAGUGGUAGACACCGAAUUGAACCCUGCCCGCGCAUUUCCCCCAACCCAAUUUCAUGAAUGGUGGUCUACCCUGUUCUGUCCACGGUGACCGCGCAAAGAACAGAUGAACAGAAGUGUUCCCGGUAAUCUAGGGUAGUCUAGCUCAAUUAGGUGGAUCGACGAGCAUCAUGGGGUUAUGAAAGCACUCAGACGAGAGAGCAGAGAGGAUGAACUGACCGGAAUUGUGGUGGCCGCGAUGAGGUCAUUUCACGGUGGCGGAAAACUAAAUUGGGAAAAUCCGGAAUUGGAGCUCCUCAGUGAACGAUUGCUGGUGAUUCUUGGUGGCUGGAUGCUUAACUAUCCUACGGAGCUCACCAUGGCUUCAAUUUAUAGCGAUCAGCCGUGAGCGCAGCGAAUUUGAGCGGUGGAUUAUGAUCUGUAAAACGGGGUGAGUCACUGGUGGCCGCGCAACGUGGCUUUUACCGUGGCGGCACCUCCGGUGAUCACCAGACAUGCG
rnacentral:lncRNA from 1 species